UACACGUUCGGUGGAGGAACCAGACUGGAUGUUGGAAUGGGUCGAGUCGUCCCCACCCUGACGGUGCUGCCCCCCUCCAGUGAGGAGCUGCAGCAGGGGAAGGCCACGCUCAUGUGUCUGGCCAACAAGGGCUUCCCCUCAGACUGGAGUCUGUCCUGGAAGGUGGACGGCAGCAGCAGCAGCAGCAGCAGCAGCAGCUGGGAGCAGAGCAGGAGCCCCGGGGUGCUGGAGAAGGACGGCCGCUACAGCUGGAGCAGCACCCUGAGGCUCCCUGCAGACCAGUGGAGGAAGGUGGGCUCUGUGACCUGUGAGGCCACCCAGGGCUCCCAGACUCCAGUCUCAGAGACACUGAGGAGAGACCAGUGUUCCCAGUCCUGACCUGACUCACUGGGACUCUGCUGCUGGUUUUACUCUCAUCCUGCUCUCAGCUCUCUCUCACUCUAAUGCUUGCAGUAAAACAUUUAUC